GACGUAGGGCGCGAGCGUUGUCCGGAUUUAUUGGGCGUAAAGAGCUCGUAGGCGGCCUGUCGCGUCGGUUGUGAAAGCCCGGGGCUUAACUCCGGGUCUGCAUUCGAUACGGGCAGGCUAGAGUUCGGUAGGGGAGAUCGGAAUUCCUGGUGUAGCGGUGAAAUGCGCAGAUAUCAGGAGGAACACCGGUGGCGAAGGCGGAUCUCUGGGCCGAUACUGACGCUGAGGAGCGAAAGCGUGGGGAGCGAACAGG
rnacentral:rRNA from 1 species